CAGCCUCGAAUCCUCUUCCUCAUAGAGAAGUACCCGCUUCUUCCUUCGUUGAAGUUGGUGGCGCUAGUCUUCAUUUCCAUUGGAAUUGAUCCCCGUCGAUAGUUGAUCUAGGCCCGUAUAACAGUCAACGGACCUCCACGACAGUCUUUAGUCACCUCUGCUCCUGCAGUACUGACUAACCAACUGUCAUCGAUGGUGAUCGUCGUAUUGGAACGUGCGGCAAUGCAGCGUCGAUUGGUAUACAGGCCUCU